GACAGAGGGUGCAAACGUUGUUCGGAAUUACUGGGCGUAAAGCGCGUGUAGGCGGCGGCGUGUGUCGGGCGUGAAAUCCCAUGGCUCAACCAUGGAAGUGCACCCGAAACUGCGCAGCUAGAGUCCUGGAGAGGAAGGUGGAAUGCUUGGUGUAGAGGUGAAAUUCGUAGAUAUCAAGCGGAACACCGGUGGCGAAGGCGGCCUUCUGGACAGUGACUGACGCUGAGACGCGAAAGCGUGGGGAGCAAACAGG
rnacentral:rRNA from 1 species